rnacentral:lncRNA from 1 species
AUGCAACUGAUCAGAGACCUAGUGACUGGUAAAAUUAGGAACACAGAAGGCAGCAUUUGGUGCCAAUGGACAUUGUUAAAUAAUCAGAGCUGGUUUUUUAAUCAGACACAGAACCGCAAGAAUGGCAUCAGUGGUGGUAGUGAUGAUGGUCACCUCUUCAAGAAGGAUCUUCCUGGGAGUCACCGUGUGCUAGGAUGUGGUCUGAGAGUGGUGGGAAAGAGAGAAAGUGGCCCCUUCCUGAAGUCAAAUCAUUGGUUCCAGAAGACUGCCUCCCACUGGGGACUACAGAGAAGAGAGAAAGGGCUUCAAGAAUCCAAUUACCAUCUGGUGGUAUGCUAUAGGGAAGUGCAAUUCUUCUGCAUCAGCAAACACAAAAUGCAGCAGUUUGGUGAGCAAGCUGGCAGCUUCCAGAGCUUGGAGCAAAAAGGUAAGAAGCUCUGCUUCUUCAAAAACUGCUGUCUAGAAGCAAGACUGAAUAGCCCAUGA